rnacentral:rRNA from 1 species
GAAGCCGGAAUUGCUAGUAAUGGCAGGUCAGCAUACUGCCGUGAAUACGUUCCCGGGCCUUGUACACACCGCCCGUCACACCAUGAGAGUUGGGAAUACCCGAAGCCUGUGAGCUAACGUUAAGAGGCAGCAGUCGAAGGUAGAAUCAAUGAUUGGGGUGAAGUCGUAACAAGGUAAC